UACGGGGGGGGCAAGCGUUGUUCGGAAUUACUGGGCGUAAAGCGUGCGUAGGUGGUUCGUUAAGUCGGAUGUGAAAGCCCCGGGCUCAACCUGGGAAUGGCAUCCGAUACUGGCGGACUGGAGUUCGAUAGAGGGUAGUGGAAUUCCCGGUGUAGCGGUGAAAUGCGCAGAUAUCAGGAAGAACACCGGUGGCGAAGGCGGCGUUCUGGACUGUCUCUGACACUGAAGAACGAAAGCCAGGGGAGCAAACGGG
rnacentral:rRNA from 1 species